rnacentral:rRNA from 1 species
UACGGAGGGGGCUAGCGUUGUUCGGAAUUACUGGGCGUAAAGCGCACGUAGGCGGAUCGUUAAGUCGGGGGUGAAAUCCCAGGGCUCAACCCUGGAACUGCCUUCGAUACUGGCAAUCUGGAGGUCGAGAGAGGCGAGUGGAAUGCCGAGUGUAGAGGUGAAAUUCGUAGAUAUUCGGCGGAACACCAGUGGCGAAGGCGGCUCACUGGCACGAUACUGACGCUGAGGUGCGACAGCGUGGGGAGCAAACAGG